UACAGAGGAUGCAAGCGUUAUCCGGAAUGAUUGGGCGUAAAGGGUCCGCAGGUGGUUUUGUAAGUCUGCUGUGAAAGCGUUAGGCUCAACCUAAUAAGGGCAGUGGAAACUAUGAGACUAGAGUAUGUUAGGGGUAGAGGGAAUUCCCAGUGUAGCGGUGAAAUGCGUAGAGAUUGGGAAGAACACCGGUGGCGAAAGCGCUCUGCUAGGACAAUACUGACACUGAGGGACGAAAGCUAGGGGAGCGAAUGGG
rnacentral:rRNA from 1 species